GAACCAUGCCAGGCAGACAUGUACAGCUAACAAAGCUUCCAUACAACAAAUAUAGUUGACCUAUUACUUAUAGUUUAAGAAAAAUAGACCAAAACACAAAAACUUAACACUGUGCAAUGAACCGUACAAUUGAGGUCAUGGUCAAAUAAAACCUGCGGGACUGACAUAUAGAUCAUAAUAUAUUUCCAUACACCAAAUAUAGUUGACCUUUGGCAUAUAAAAUUAGAUAAAAAGACCAAAACUUAAAAACUUAACUUUUGACCACUGAACCAUGAAAAUGAGGUCAAGGUCAGAUGACAUCUGCCCGCUAGACAUGUACACCUUACAAUCAUGCCAUACAACAAAUAUAGUAGACCUAUUGCAUAAAGUAUGAGAAAAACAGACCAAAACACAAAAACUUAACUAUAACCACUGAACCAUGAAAAUGAGGUCAAGGUCAGAUGACACCUGCCAGUUGGACAUGUACACCUUGCAGUCCUUCCAUACACCAAAUAUAUUAGCCCUAUUGCUUAU
rnacentral:lncRNA from 1 species